rnacentral:rRNA from 2 species
UGGGGAAUAUUGCACAAUGGGCGAAAGCCUGAUGCAGCAACGCCGCGUGAGUGAUGAAGGCCUUCGGGUUGUAAAGCUCUGUCUUUUGGGACGAUAAUGACGGUACCAAAGGAGGAAGCCACGGCUAACUACGUGCCAGCAGCCGCGGUAAUACGUAGGUGGCAAGCGUUGUCCGGAUUUACUGGGCGUAAAGGAUGCGUAGGCGGAUUUUUAAGUGAGAUGUGAAAUUCCCGGGCUUAACUUGGGAGCUGCAUUUCAAACUGGAAGUCUAGAGUGCGGGAGAGGAAAGUGGAAUUCCUAGUGUAGCGGUGAAAUGCGUAGAGAUUAGGAAGAACACCAGUGGCGAAGGCGACUUUCUGGACCGUAACUGACGCUGAGGCAUGAAAGCGUGGGUAGCAAACAGG